rnacentral:lncRNA from 1 species
UAAAGUUCACAUUACACAAUCUGUAAGGCACAGUUUAAAUCAUUAAACAGCCUUCCUAGGCUGUUCCUGUUUUCACGCCCCCACAAAUCAGCUUUUCUAGUCCUUUACUUUCUUUUUUCUUCUUCUCUCUCUCCCCUUCUCCCCUCUCCCUCUCUCUGCCUCCCCUGCCCUUUCCAGUGCUGGGAAUGGAACCCAAGGCUUCAUGCAUGCUAGGGAUAUUCAGGCGGAGUCUGACCUCUGAGUAGCCUUGCUAAUAAGCGCCCUACAGUAGGCAAGAACAGGCGAGUGACACUCAUGACAAUGUUGCUCCACUAUGAUCCAUUUAUGUUGAGCUUUGGCCUAUUCUCACUGAAGAACAAGGACAGCCACACUACAACAAGGACAAGCCAUUCUACAGGAAGGACAAGCAGCUGCCAGGAGGAGAGGCAGGGGCUCCCAGUUCCCAGGGACACACAGCUAACUCAUCCCACCAUGUCUCAACUCAGAAUGCAGCAAGCAAACCUGCAUAGAUUCCCUGGGCAGCCCUCACAGCCCUGCCACACUGGGAGCAUGGUGAUGACAGCCAUGGUGGCAGGAGCCCAUAGAGAACACUUCCACUCUGCCUGGAGGAGCCUUGGACCCAAGAGAAUAGUCUUCUCUCUGUUCUCCCACCAUUCAGCCCCAAAUGUAGUGACCCUGUGCAGCAGGUAAAUGGAGCACUAGCUCCCUGGCCAGGAGGACCUGGGGAGCCGUGGGAUGGGAAGUAUACUGGAAAGGAUGAGGGAGAGCACAGAAAGGGGCUCAGGAAAGCAUUCUGCACAGGUGCCUGGGCUCCAUUCUGUGCUGUGCAUGUGUAAGCCUGCAUUCAGAGAACACACCAAAGGCUAUGCAAAAGGAGCUGAGAACAGACACCCCACCCCUCAGGGCCAGGCUGGCCCCCAGUGGCACCCACGUGGGAAAGGUCUGAGUAGCUGCAAAGGCUUGGAAAACAAAACUGACAUUAAAACCACAAGCCACUGAAGACUGGCAGUAUUUUCAACCUGAAUCAGUGCAGGUUGAUUGUUUAUUAGAAUAUAAAUAACAAUACUCAGAUGAGAUGUAAAUAAAACCCAGAGUCUCAUCAAAUGAUAAUCAAAACAUUUAGAAUAUAAUCCAGAAUUACUCAGUGUAUUACUUAUCCGUUGCUGCUUGAAUAGAUAAUACAAAUUUAGGGCUUUAGAGCACACAAAUUUUAAUUUUUCAAAGUUCUCUGGGUUAAAAGUUCAAAGUCUGUCUCACCAAGUACAAGUCCAGGUGCUGGCAAGGCUGGUUCCUGCCAGAGGCUCUAAGAGAGAAUCUGUUUCCUUGCCUUUUCUAGCUUCUAGGGACUACCUACAUUCCUUGUCUCAUGGACUCCUUUCUCCAUCUUUAAAGCAAGCAAAACAACAUCUCUAUGACCCUUCUUCUAGUGUCACAUCUAGC